CAAGUCGAACGAGGUGCUUUUGUAGCAAUACGAGAGUAUCCUAGUGGCGAACGGGUGAGUAACGCGUUGGUGACCUACCCCAAAGUGUGGAAUAACAGUCCGAAAGGAUUGCUAAUACCGCAUGUGGUUAUCGGGCUUAGAAACUGAUAACUAAAGGAGCAAUUCGCUUUGGGAGGGACCUGCGUCCCAUCAGCUAGUUGGUGAGGUAAUGGCUCACCAAGGCUACGACGGGUAGGGGACCUGAGAGGGUGACCCCCCACAAUGGAACUGAAACACGGUCCAUACACCUACGGGUGGCAGCAGUAGGGAAUAUUGCACAAUGGGCGAAAGCCUGAUGCAGCAACGCCGCGUGUGCGAUGAAGGCCUUCGGGUCGUAAAGCACUUUUCUGAGAGAUGAGAAAGGACAGUAUCUCAGGAAUAAGUCUCGGCUAACUACGUGCCAGCAGCCGCGGUAAAACGUAGGAGGCGAGCGUUAUCCGGAUUCACUGGGCGUAAAGCGCGUGCAGGUGGUUCGGUAAGUUAGGCGUGAAAUCUCCCGGCUCAACUGGGAGAGGUCGUCUAAUACUACCGAACUUGAGAGCAGAAGAGGAAGAUGGAAUUCCCGGUGUAGUGGUGAAAUGCGUAGAUAUCGGGAGGAACACCAGUGGCGAAGGCGAUCUUCUGGUCUGUUUCUGACACUCAGACGCGACAGCUAGGGUAGUAAACGGGAUUAGAGACCCCGGUAAUCCUAGCCGUAAACGAUGUGAACUUGGCGUUGGUGGGUUAACUCCAUCAGUGCCGAAGCAAACGCGAUAAGUUCACCGCC
rnacentral:rRNA from 1 species